rnacentral:rRNA from 1 species
GACAGAGGUGGCAAGCGUUGUUCGGAUUUACUGGGCGUAAAGAGUGCGUAGGUGGUGAGGUAAGACCUGUGGGAAAGACCUGGGCUUAACCCAGGAAGGUCGCAGGUGACUGCCUCGCUUGAGGACGGGAGAGGAGAGCGGAAUUCCCGGUGUAGCGGUGAAAUGCGUAGAGAUCGGGAAGAAGGCCGGUGGCGAAGGCGGCUCUCUGGGAACGUUCCUGACACUGAGGCACGAAAGCCAGGGGAGCAAACG